GACGAACGCUGGCGGCGUGCUUAACACAUGCAAGUCGAACGGUGAAGCGAGUGCUUGCACUCGUGGAUCAGUGGCGAACGGGGGAGUAACACGUGAGUAACCGGCCCAUCACUCUGGGAUAAGCACUGGAAACGGUGUCUAAUACUGGAUACGACCAACCCUUGCGUGGGGUGUUGGGGGAAAGAUGUAUCGGUGAUGGAUGGACUCGCGGCCUAUCAGCUUGUUGGCGGGGUAAUGGCACACCAAGGCGGCGACGGGUAGCCGGCCUGAGAGGGUGACCGGCCACACUGGGCCUGAGACACGGACCAGACUCCUACGGGAGGCAGCAGUGGGGAAUAUUGCACAAUGGGCGCAAGCCUGAUGCAGCGACGCCGCGUGUGGGAUGACGGCCUUCGGGUUGUAAACCUCUUUCAGCAGGGAAGAAGCGAAAGUGACGGUACCUGCAGAAGAAGCACCGGCUAACUACGUG
rnacentral:rRNA from 1 species